rnacentral:misc_RNA from 1 species
ACAGAAUCUCUCUGUAAAAGAGUAAGCUGGGCAGAGAGCGUGGUAGCUUCUGUCUGCAGAGUCUGAACCUUGUGUUCCAAUUCUGAAAUAUAUCUCAUCUUCCUUUCUUUGGAACGAGCAGCCGAUUGACGAUUUGCCAAGAUCCUUUUUGCACGCUUUGGAUCAGUUAAUGCAAUCUCAGCAAGUUUAUCAUUUGCCAUAAUUUUCUUAAGCUCAGCGCCACUAAACUCGCCAUUUCCAAACUCCAAACUGAAGGCAUUCCCAUCCAAUGAAUUGCUAGGUGAUAGUUGUCCUGGGCGAGUUCCAGGUGAAGGUGGCAGCUUUGGAGACUCAUCACCAAAGUUCAACUUGCCCAUUAAGCUAUCCAUUGAAAAACUUCUGUAGUGUCUGGUGGUUGGAGCAAUAUCACCUCCUGCAGUCCUUUUGAUCCCCUCCCUCUUCUCAGUUGAAGAACUCAAUCCUGCCCCUGGCAAACUACUACCGCUUUCAUUCACACUGCUUUCUGCAUCAUUAUCACUGCUAUCACCUCCAUUAGUCUUUGUCCCACUAGCUCUACUAUCCAAAUCGUCAUGAUUCUCAUUACCAUUCUUAUCAUCAGUUCCAGAAGAGUUCAGCGCAUCAAUGUUAUCCAGAUUCAUAUAAGCUGAAAACAAAUCAUCCACAGUUUCACCUUCAGAUUUCCUCUCACCCAUCCCCUCAUCAUUGCUAAUGCUAUCACCACCUCUUUCCCAUUCUCUUUUCACCAGCUGAGCUGGCUUAGCCAACCCUGAAUUCUCUUUCCCAGACACUGAACGCUCCAACACACCUGAACCCCUAAACUGAACGAGAGGAGGCGAAGAUUGCAUCACAUUUGUAAACCCGAAUGGAAUAUCGCUAUUAGACCUCCGAUGUGUCUUGCGUGGAGGCAAGCUCUCACCAACUCUUGAAGUAUUACCCCUAUUAAUGGAUGAGGGUGGUAAUAGGGAAUGAGAAUUUGCAU